ensembl:lncRNA
CAUUGAGAGAGCUGAUGGUGGAUACUGACAAAUUACCCAGGUGUUGUGUGUCAGUGUUUAUAAAUCAGGCUGCGUGAGAAGGAAACACUUCCAAAGUGGGAAGAAAGGUGCGGUGAACCUGUGAGUACACAACGUUUCAGGCGUUUCCUGGCUGUGGUGAAGAAGAUAGAUAAGACCGUGGCAGCGGGGAAAAAGUAUCUGGCAACGGAGCCGGAGCUCCUCCAGGACAAAUAACAGCGCGAGUUCAUCCAGGCGCAAAUGAAUCAUCAUGACUUGACAAAAAGGACGGAUGUGCCGAUUCCCCAGAAGGGCAGGUACCUCUGAUUUCAGAUGAAAACAAAAACAUAACUUUAGAGGCAUGUUUUCGGAGAGAAUUUCAUUUGCUGGUCUUCCUCCUCAUUUCGAGCACUUAAAUGGCGAUGGCAACGUUCCAUAGUGAAGACACACUAAACAGAAGUUGCAGCGGAGCCAAAAGGGGAAGGACAACGCCUGACGUGACACUCGGCCUCUAGAGGUCACCGCAUGUCACCCGGUCUGACAUGCACAUCUCAGGAUGUUCUGUUAGCAGCGACUAAAGCUCAUAGCAGCAAGGUGCCGUGGUAACGGGCCGGCACAACCCGGGCUGGUAAUGUUCUAACAGGGAGAGCCCCCUAGUGCUCGACGGGAGACGUCCCGUUUAACAGCUUCAACUCCACAAGUGUGCUGCUGAGUGGACUCAUGGAGUGGAACGUUAAAAACAGCCGAGCUCCCCGACUGCUACGAAGCCCUGUUCUGUAACGUCACAGCUGUCACUCGACCAACACAACAGCUUCUAUUUACAGUCCGCACUAAGCCUGCCCAGAGAGCCCGGCUGGCAACCCCCCCCCCCCCCCCCAUUCAUAUAAGGCGAGACGUCUAUUUCAGGUGAAUGUAUAUUUCUUAAAUGAGAUUUGUUACUGAUUUGCGAAG